rnacentral:rRNA from 1 species
GAUGAACGCUAGCGGCAGGCCUAACACAUGCAAGUCGAGGGGCAGCACAGAAACAGCAAUGUUUUGGUGGCGACCGGCGGACGGGUGCGUAACGCGUAUGCAACCUACCUUUAACAGGGGGAUAACGGAGAGAAAUUUCCACUAAUACCCCAUAACAUCGAUCAAGGCAUCUUGAUUGGUUGAAAACUCCGGUGGUUAAAGAUGGGCAUGCGUUGUAUUAGGUAGUUGGUGAGGUAAUGGCCCACCAAGCCUACGAUACAUAUGGGGACUGGGAGUGUAGCCCCCCACAGUGGUACGGAGACACGGACAAGACUCCUACGGGAGGCAGCAGUGAGGAAUAUUGGUCAAUGGGGCAAACCCUGAACCAGCCAGGCCGCGUGCAGGAAAACGGCUAUAUGAGUUGUAAACUGCUUUUAAACAGGGAUAAAGCACAGUAUGUAUACUGUGUGGAGGGUACUGUAAGAAUAGGGAUCGGCAAACUCCGUGCCAGCCGCCGCUGUAA